UACGGAGGGGACUAGCGUUGUUCGGAAUUACUGGGCGUAAAGCGCACGUAGGCGGAUUUGUAAGUCAGGGGUGAAAUCCCGGGGCUCAACCUCGGAACUGCCUUUGAUACUGCAAAUCUUGAGUCCGGAAGAGGUGAGUGGAAUUCCUAGUGUAGAGGUGAAAUUCGUAGAUAUUAGGAAGAACACCAGUGGCGAAGGCGGCUCACUGGCCCGAUACUGACGCUGAGGCACGAAAGCGUGGGGAGCAAACAGG
rnacentral:rRNA from 1 species